CCUUGAGUUCGUAUUCCUCUUGUGCGGCCUCCAAGCGUCGACGAAGAUGAUACUUCUCUUGCUCGAGUUCCUGUAAAAUGAAACGAGAAACUCUCAAUCAAUUUCGGGGCUCCUCUUCGCAUCUGAGGAUUUACCUUGCCCCCGAGUCUGACAGCUUUACGGUAUCGCAAGAGAUGACAAUCCCUUUUGCGCCGUUUUCCAACGAACUUCAGUCAACCUUUGAAUGAUCUUAUCAGAACCAUAGUGGCACAGAUCUUCCUGGGCUCAUUUCCGUGGCUUCUCGCACCAAAACCAGCGGGAAGAAAUCUAGACCAUCGGAACUCUUUCGUUGGAUGGCAAAAUACAAUCCUUCUUUUAUGUUCUUAUCGUGGCAUUUUGGGAAAUGCACUAGUUUGCGAGAAGUUGGAACGCGUCUCUGGAUCGCAAUUACUAAUUAAGGCACUUAGAUUAAUUGAAUUAGAGCGAAAGAGUAUGUAACUGUGCGAAAAGGGAUAUUUCUGAAAAGAGAGACCUUGAAAUGAUCUAAAUGAGAAAGAGCGAUCGAUGAAUAUUGCACUUGCAACCCGAGCAUCUAAGGAGGUCACGUUCCAUUCCAAUUCAGGGCCGCUAGCCAAAGAUAUGCAUUGCAUAGAAAACGUUUCCACGGUUUUCAAUGGAUUCUAUCGAAUUUUUUUGGACUGUGAACGUGUCAAAACCGCUGUUGCUGUUUGGAAUUCCAAACCAAGUGAAACCAUGAGAAUUAUGAUAAAUGAACGUGUUUGGAAGCCUGUCAAUGUCAUUAAUUUGAAAGGUCUCCCCGUCUUCACCUUCAGCCUCCCACGUGUUCCAAAAAAGCGAUGGCCAUGGGAAGUUCUGCAUAAAUAAUACAACAUAUUCCACCGGACAGGUCAUCAACAGGACUCCUCCAAAAACAAAGAGCUCUUUGAAAUGCGAAGCUUCGACAAGCUCUUGACGUCAUUACCCCGAGUUUUUUUUUGGCUAUCUUCUGUGUUGCCGAUGAAUGGAAUACAUGUAAUCCUUUUCAAUGCAACAUA